UGCCCAACCGACUGAGCCACCCAGGCGCCCCAGAAGUUAUUAAGUUUAAACGAGGUCAUAAAGUUUAAAUGAGGUCAUAAGAAUGGGGCCCUAAUCCCAAAUGACUGGUGUCCUUGUAGAAAGUGAGACACGCUGGGGAUGUACACACAGAGAAAAGGCUAUGUGAGAACGCCAUGAAACGGCAGUUUACCGCGAGGAAAGAGGUCUUAUGAGAAACCAACCCUGCCGGCACCCUGCCCUUGGAUUUGCAGCCCCCAGAACUGUGAGAAAGCAAAUUUCUGUUAUUUAAUACAACCCAGUCUGUGGUAUUUUGUUACAGCAGCAGGCUAAUGCGGCAGAUAACAAGCAAACAAGUAAAUAUAUAAUCUCAGGGAAUGAUAAGGGAGCACUUUGAAGAACAGUGGAGCAAGGUCUCUGCUGUCCAAUGGAGAAGAUGCUGGAGGAGAGCAAGUGUGGAAACACAGAGACCAAUUAGGAAGCUGCUGGUCCAGCCUCGUGUAAACAGAGAGAUCACCCCAAUGUCCACUCUGCCCUGGACUGUCCCAGUUUUGGCACUGAAAGGCCGUGAGCAAACGGGGAUUGUCCGUCACUCUACAGAGCAAAGAAAGCUGUCAAAUGGAUAUCACAGCUUGCAAAUAAAUGGGCAGGAAAAAACAAAGCCUGAGUUAGCUCAUCGGUGCUUUUCCAUGCCCCAAGAAAAAGAUACUUUUAAUCCAAGAGUAAGGCGAUAUCCGCACGUUUAUGUACUCUGUAUGUCAACUGCAUUCUUUGACUUUGGGAUCUAUCUACACCAGUGCUACUCACAGGUGAUCAAGGGAUCGGCGACAUCGUCUCCAGGGAGCCUGUUAGAAAUACAACUUCAUACCCCUUCCACCAUCCCUCCCUCCAGCCCCAGGACAACACCAUCCCAAUCUCUAAGGGUGGGGCUCAAAAAUUUGUCACCACACAUGUCACUUUUAUCUUUUAACAAGCUCUCCGGGUUAAGGUCAAGGGAAGCAAGUGGGAAAAAGGAGCUUAAAGUUUGAGAUACACCGAUCUAGCCAAUUUCCUUUACAGAUAUACAGAUAACUACUCGGUUUUAAAGAUCACUGGAAAGAAGGACUCCAUUACUUCACUUUCCUUAUGCAAAACAAAUCCCGUGGUUUGUGAAACCUUCUUUCUUACUUAAUAAACCUCUUGUCUAACAUUCUGGUCCUACACGAGAGUGCACAGUAUCAUUAAAUAUAUUCUUCUGUCCUUUUCUAAGGCCACUCCAAGUGUUCUUUAUUAUCACAUAACGAUCACUUAAUGUCCAGAAGGGAUCCUUGUCAAAAGCUGCAGGACCUCAAAAGAACCACCUUGCAGUUCCAACGUGAAUACUCGUGAAUCUUUAAGAAAAUCACUUGUCAAGUUAUAACGUAUCAGACACUAUAACCGUAUAAGAAUUACGAAGCCUAGAAACAGAGAAAGAAAGAAUAGUUCAUCUGGAUCACGGGAGAAGGAAAAACAGAUGACAGCUUGGCAUAAAUAGGAGGAAUUUGCUGAGUGAGUAUGCUAACAGGGGCUGGGGUCAGGCCCCCCAAUUUGUGUUCCCUUAAGGUUUUGUGUGACUUGGCCGCAAUCCAUCUACAUGGUGUGUUUCUAUUCUGUUCCAGGACAGAAGGUUGCCCUCAACUCCAAUCCGGCUUCUCAUUGUCCAUUUAUUCUAGGCUCUCUCUUACUUCCCUUUCCCCUCAUUCUUCCCCAGGGAGGGGUUGCCAUGGAGAUGAAAUCAUAGUAAGCCAGUUGGUAAGAAAGGCAGUGACAGAAGCGGAAUGGGAGAGAGUGCAUAGAGAAAAAUAAAAGAUGAAGGCAAAAGGAAAAGACAUAGACACAGAUAAGACCUGAUACCGUCCAAGGAGGAACUGCACAGGUGAUAAGAUGCCAUAAACUUACUUAUGGAAAUGGGUGGAGACAUACUGCCCAGUAAGAGGCACACAGUGGAGGUUCUAAGGCAACAGACAUAAGCAAACCCAGGGACCUGAAAUAUACGUAGACACACAGGAGGGGAGGAGACACACAGUCAGGGGUUGAACCAGAUCAUACAGGAUUCUGGUGAAAACAGCUUCGCACAGAACUUUGGCGCGAAUAGCAACAAUUCCAAGAAAACGUUUAUUUAUCCUUAUAUGUAACCUCUUUGAGUCAUUCCUAUUUCCAAGGAAGGGACCAGUGGGAGGUUAUACAGAGGACACCCUUACUUCUAUGUUGUUUUUCACUUCCUUUUCUUGCCUGCACACAGAAAGGACCUCCCAAAGACAACCAAAGGCUGCGCUCUUUCUCUUAGACAUAACCUUUUAGUCUCUUGACUAUUCCUCCUCCCAUCUUUUCAAUGUUUGGAUCUCAAAUAUUUGGACCUCAAAUUUUCUACAAUUCCUUCUCUUUCUUGCUCUCUUUUCUUUUCUUUGCAUUUAUCCCAGGUUAUAAGCCAUCUUCUUAAUGCUCCUUUUGUCUAGCCCACCCUCUUUUCCAAUAUCUCCCUUCACCUAAAGUCAGACUUGUCCCCACACCCUAGCCAGAAACUUGGCCUCUUCCAAUUUCACUCUUCUUUUUCGCUCAUUAGCUGCAUUCUUACUUGGACCUCUCCAUCUUUGGAUAAGACAACAUCUAAUAAAAACAGUAAGAAACAAUGGUUUUCUAAAUACAGAAAAAUUUUAAUGAGUUUUUUUUUUAAAUGCAAUGUUGAGAAAAGUGAAGAUAUACACAUAAACAUGCAUUGAGAGAGCCUACAAAAUGCACGGCUGACUGAGUAAUGCAGAAGACCCAAAGUGCCCCCCCUCCCUCCAGAAGUUGAUUACGAUCUGGCCACGGAGGGGACAAGAUAAAAAAAGUUCUGAAGGAAGCCAAAGGAUUCUGUUUGUGCGGGAAGAAUCGAGAAAGUCUUCAUGGAGUCAGAAUUUGGAGUAGAUCUUGAAAGACGAGUAAGUCAAUACCAAGAAACAAAACAGCCCCAGGAAGACUGGCAUGUUCCCACGGCGGAGGACGUGCACCCAACUGCAUUCUUCUGUCUCCCACACCUCUACCUCUAAGUACAACCAGUGACAGGACACUGACUUCUGCCGCCGUCUGACUCACUGGUAACAAACUAGUGAGUAGAAAGUAGUAAAGCCACAUCCCAAAAUAGCUGCAUGCCUCACUGGGGCACCCGAAAGAUAAGGAGAACAAAGCCUCCAGUCCAAGUUGUAUUGUAUUUAUCUAAUAUUAAGAGAUGACAGAAGAAAAGGAGGGUGAUUCCUCUUCUCAAGAACCACGACCUUUCUCCUGGAAAAAAUGAACAAAGUACGGACAAGAGAAAGUAAAGGCCAGAAAGGGCAAGGAGAAAAGUGAGAGUGUAAUUUUGCCUUAAAUAAAUGCACAUAGAAAUGCCCAGAUUUGAUCACUGACCACCUGUUAAUAUUCUAACAAUUACAGAGACUGAGAGAGGUGCCAAAAAAAAUCGGAGGGGCGCCUGGCCGGCACAGUGGGAAGAGCACGUGACUCUUGAUCUCGGGGUCGUGAGUUCGAGCCCCACGUUGGGAGUAGAGAUUACUAAAAAAAAAUUAAAAAGUAAACUUAAAAAACAAAAGAAAUUGGAGUUAUGAAUUUUUUUUCAGUGAAAAAGGGUGGGGCUUCAUUAUUUUCCCCUUCAAUUCUAGAAAGAUUACUAACAGAUAGUUGGCAUGCAACAAAAGGAAGGAGUACUAAUUAAUUGGAUGCAGAAUUAAUUUAAGUUUAAGUACAUCAUGUCAGUUUUUUUACCGAAAGUUUUCCUAACCUUUUUCCAAUAAGGUUAUUUAAAAAAAUUCAGAGAAAUACCACAGACCAGCGUUUCUAAAUCUAGGUACUAUUCUGGGCUUUGUCUUUGGGGCAGUUCUGUGCAUUGUAUGAUGUUUACUAGAAUCCUUGGUUUCUGACCACUAGAUACCGGUAACAUUCUCUUUGCCGCAGUAACAGCAACCAAAUAUGUCUGCAGAAAAUACCCAAUGUCCCUGGGGAGCAAAGUCGCUGAUGAGUGAGAACCAUCAUUCCCUUGGAAAAUCUCUAAUGAGAUCCUUGGGUGAAAGACCUCACCUCUCUGGAACUCAAUUAUUUGGAAUACUAACUUAUUUUAUUUUAUUAUUACUUUUUAAUGUUUCUUUUUCGAGAGAGAGACAGAGCACAA